rnacentral:rRNA from 1 species
GAUAAACGCUGGCGGCGUGCUUAACACAUGCAAGUCGAACGGAGUAAUUCUCCCGAGGAUUGAUGGUGCUUGCACCUGAUUGACUCAUUUGAAUUACUUAGUGGCGGACGGGUGAGUAACGCGUGGGUAACCUGCCUCACACUGGGGGAUAGCAGUUGGAAACGACUGAUAAUACCGCAUAAGCGCACAGUACCGCAUGGUACAGUGUGAAAAACUCCGGUGGUGUGAGAUGGACCCGCGUCUGAUUAGCUAGUUGGUGAGGUAACGGCCCACCAAGGCGACGAUCAGUAGCCGGCCUGAGAGGGUGUACGGCCACAUUGGGACUGAGACACGGCCCAAACUCCUACGGGAGGCAGCAGUGGGGAAUAUUGGACAAUGGGGGCAACCCUGAUCCAGCGACGCCGCGUGAGUGAAGAAGUAUCUCGGUAUGUAAAGCUCUAUCAGCAGGGAAGAUAAUGACGGUACCUGACUAAGAAGCACCGGCUAAAUACGUGCCAGCAGCCGCGGUAAUACGUAUGGUGCAAGCGUUAUCCGGAUUUACUGGGUGUAAAGGGUGCGUAGGUGGAAUGGUAAGUCAGAUGUGAAAACUAUGGGCUCAACCCAUAGACUGCAUUUGAAACUGCCGAUCUAGAGUGCAGGAGAGGAAAGUGGAAUUCCUAGUGUAGCGGUGAAAUGCGUAGAUAUUAGGAGGAACACCAGUGGCGAAGGCGACUUUCUGGACAGUAACUGACGUUGAGGCACGAAAGUGUGGGGAGCAAACA